ensembl:misc_RNA Metazoa_SRP Metazoan signal recognition particle RNA
GCCAGGUGUGGUGGUGCACACCUGUAAUCCCAGCUACUCAAGAGGCUGAGGUGGGAGGAUCACUUGAGCCCAGGAGGACAGUGCUGCAGUGAGCUAUGAUUUGCGCCACUGCAUUCCAGCCUGGGUGACACAGUGAGACCUGGUCUCUG